CCUACGGGCGGCAGCAGUGAGGAAUAUUGGUCAAUGGGCGGAAGCCUGAACCAGCCAAGUAGCGUGCGGGAUGAAGGCCCUACGGGUCGUAAACCGCUUUUGCACGGGGAUAACACCCUCCACUUGUGGAGGUCUGCAGGUACCGUGCGAAUAAGGGCCGGCUAAUUCCGUGCCAGCAGCCGCGGUAAUACGGAAGGCCCGAGCGUUAUCCGGAUUCAUUGGGCUUAAAGGGAGCGUAGGCGGGCGUUCAAGUCAGCUGUAAAAUCGCGCGGCUCAACCGCGCCCCGCAGUUGAAACUGGACGCAUUGAGGUCACAACAGGCAGGCGGAAUUCGUGGUGGAGCGGUGAAAUGCAUAGAUAUCACGAGGAACCCCGAUUGCGAAGGCAGCCUGCCGGGGUGCGACUGACGCUGAGGCUCGAAGGUGCGGGUAUCAAACAGGAUUAGAUACCCUGGUAGUC
rnacentral:rRNA from 1 species